AACGAACGCUGGCGGCAUGCCUAACACAUGCAAGUCGAACGAGACCUUCGGGUCUAGUGGCGCACGGGUGCGUAACGCGUGGGAACCUGCCCUUAGGUUCGGAAUAACUCCCCGAAAGGGGUGCUAAUACCGGAUAAUGUCUUCGGACCAAAGAUUUAUCGCCUUUGGAUGGGCCCGCGUUGGAUUAGCUAGUUGGUAGGGUAAAAGCCUACCAAGGCGACGAUCCAUAGCUGGUCUGAGAGGAUGAUCAGCCACACUGGGACUGAGACACGGCCCAGACUCCUACGGGAGGCAGCAGUGGGGAAUAUUGGACAAUGGGCGAAAGCCUGAUCCAGCAAUGCCGCGUGAGUGAUGAAGGCCUUAGGGUUGUAAAGCUCUUUUACCUGGGAUGAUAAUGACAGUACCGGGAGAAUAAGCUCCGGCUAACUCCGUG
rnacentral:rRNA from 1 species